rnacentral:rRNA from 1 species
CACGUAGGGUGCGAGCGUUGUCCGGAAUUAUUGGGCGUAAAGAGCUCGUAGGCGGUCCGUCACGUCGGAUGUGAAAUUCCAGGGCUCAACCCUGGACCUGCAUUCGAUACGGGCGGACUAGAGUUCGGUAGGGGAGACUGGAAUUCCUGGAGUAGCGGUGAAAUGCGCAGAUAUCAGGAGGAACACCGGUGGCGAAGGCGGGUCUCUGGGCUGACACUGACGCUCAUGCACGAAAGCGUGGGGAGCAAACAGG